rnacentral:misc_RNA from 1 species
AAGUCGUAACAAGGUUUCCGUAGGUGAACCUGCGGAAGGAUCAUUAACACGUAUCCACGUAUCCACCCCACGUGCAUUCGUUUUCCCACCUCCCUCCCUUCUCACAUGCAUGGGCUAUCGGCACACACGCUGAGUGGCGCGCGUCGUCUGACGCGUGCGUCGUGUGCGCUUACUGACGCGGGCUUCGGCUCGCGACGACCAUGCGAGUGAGUGGAGGCUACUGUUCGGCGCCGCUGGCCCUUGCUCGGGUCAUGCGCUGGGCGACUAUUAUUUACACACCACAAUCACACUUCAUUUUGCUAGUUGACUUUUUUAUAUGUGGAGCGUGCCUCGUGCGCCUCUUCACGUUUCUUAAUUGAACGAAAAAUUACAACUCUUAGCAAUGGAUAUCUAGGUUCUC